CCGAGAAUAUUCGACAAUGGGCGAAAGCCUGAUCGAGCGAUACCGCGUGGUGGAUGAAGUGCUUCGGCACGUAAACACCUUUUAUGAGGGAAGAAGUUAUUGACAUUACCUCAUGAAUAAGGGGCUCCUAACUCUGUGCCAGCAGGAGCGGUAAUACAGAGGCCCCGAGCAUUACCCGGAAUUACUGGGCGUAAAGGGUGCGUAGGUGGUCGUAUUAGUCGUCCGUUAAAAACCGUGGCUCAACCGCGGAAGUGCGGGCGAAACGGUACGACUCGAGGGCGUGAGAGGUGCAUAGAACUCUGGGUGUAGGGGUGAAAUCCGUUGAUAUCCAGGGGAAUACCGAAAGCGAAGGCAGUGCACUGGCGCGUUCCUGACACUCAAGCACGAAAGCGUGGGUAGCGAACGGG
rnacentral:rRNA from 1 species